UCCCAAAUUGCGAUUCGAAGAUGUGCAGAAGAUUGUGGAGACACACUCAGCAACACCACAGCCCAGCCUGACAAAGGGGUACAAGUUUUUUGUGGAGGAGUUUGUACACAAUUAUCAAGAUCACCCUGGAGGCUGUUGGACAACUGGGUCUCUCAGAACACAGCUGUAGCUGUGCUGCGGACAAAGGCUUCUGUAGCCAUAUAACCGCUCUGCUGUUCCAGACAGCGCAUUAUGUGCAGCUGGGCCUUGAUGUGGUUCCACCUUCCCUGGCCUGUACCAGUCAACCACAGAUGUGGCAUCGACCUCGAACACACGUGUGCUGUUGUGUCCUCUGUUCAAAUCAUACACUUCAGUAUUUGUCUAGAGCAUAUGAGCAUUUCCUGUAUGACUAAAUUUUUGUUGUUCGCCUCAGGGAAUCCAUCCAGAGGCUGUGAGUGACCUGGUGGUGAAGAAACCCAAGUCGGUGGGGAAGACUGGAGUCAAGUCCACACUCUACAGAGCGUAUGCUGAGGGAAUAUCCAGCUUGGAGUUGGUACCAUCUCAGCUGUGCUGACCUGGAAGAUGUCAGCAAUGACCUGUUCUUUAA